AAGUGUGGAAUUUACAAAUGGAAAAGUCUGAUUGAGAUUUCAUUAUGUUCGCUCACACUGAGAUUCAACAUUAGUUCUGAUGGACAAAAUUAGCUCUAUUUUUCAUAUCCCUUAAUCGUCUGUCAGGGAUCCUGUGUUAUCAGUGCUACUGGGUGAUGUCAUCCUGCUGUUAGGUAGACAGAUGUACGGUUAUGAUACAGGUGUGCUAUUAUACAUGUUAAGAUAUCAAAUGACCUCUAGGAAAUCAUAUAUUCAAUUGCAUUUCUAGCUUGGCAAAGAACACUAAGUAUAAAACGAAAAAACAUUCUCCUCUCUGAGGGUUUUUAGUUUUCUUUAAGUGAUUUCAGAACUUGGUUACGUAAUUUAAGUGGCUUUUCAUAUAGUAAUCAGGACCACUUAAAGUGGAUAAUAAAAACAUGAAAUGGGAUUACGUCCUUAUAGCAAAGAUGAUAGAAUCAAUAUCUUCUAUAACUAAACCUUAAAUUAUAAAGUUCUAAGAUGCACCUAAAAUAUUACAGCAUAAUGAUGCUUAAAAUGGACCUUUGGACUUAUUCUAUAUUUGAUCGUCGGUUAAGAUCAGUGAUUCUAUAAAAUAAAAGAAAAAAGAAAAGAAAAGCUGUUAAAUUUCAGGAGUACGCAGCACUGCUCUUAUCAGGAGAGCACCAGACUUUUCCAAUGCAGGGGACAAGCAGGGGUCAAAAGAUAGUGAGCUCCAUGCACUUCCAGUAUCUUAAAGGAUCCUCCGUGUGUGGUUUGCUUUUCAUUUCAUAGCUUCCCAGCUUGCACGUUUCUGACAUGGCACAAUUACUUAAGACUACAGAUAGCAGACGAGUUUACCAACUGCACAUUUGAGUUCAGAGUUUAAAAUGUCAACGAGAGGGUAAAACAAGUUCGAAUGAGGAAUUCUGCUAGUGUGACAUGGAGUAUUAAUAAAAUCAGCGUGUUCGCACCAAGACCGUGUUAGCCAGACAUUUCAGUGCCACCAGUUUAUUACUGAACAUCACACUAAUCUUUUUUCUUAGAAAUGGUGAUAACAAUUAGUUUCUGGAUUCAUGCAUUGUUAAUUAGAACUUGUUAGUGUGCCUCACAUUGUGGUGGAGCAAUCAGUCUGUCACUACAAAAAGAGGCCUUUCCAUUUGUCCACACUUUCUAUUUAGCUGUAGAUGUAUAACUAACGUUUCAACUAAUUGCAAGAAUGCAACCACUAAUAUCCACUACAGAAAUGUCGUCUAUACAAUGGGAGCUAUGGGAGACACAAUGCCGAACUUACAAGACCACAUACCUCCUCUAUUAAGACAAAUGGAGCUCCAUGGAAGUGGAAACUGUUCAUCUUUACUUAUGUUCUUGUGUCCUCUGAGAUUUAUGUACAUGAAAACAACAAAUAAUGACCAAACCAUUUAAAUUCCAUCAUACUAAUGUCUGAAAGCUAUGACAAACUGUUGACCUCUAGAUGGAUUCUGGUGUACAUGCUGUCUGAAACACUCACAUCGAAUGUGGUUUGCUGUUGAGCAAAGAAGCCUGACCAUCUCAGAGGAGAGAUGAAAAUGCUUCUGGAGUUGGGACAUUCUGCCUACUAAGAUUUUACCGUGAUGACGUCUGAUUCAAAUCUGCCCCAGUUUGGGAAAUACCUGCAGUGUGACCUUCCUGUGCCCCACAGUCACAAGUUUUAAGGGAUAUCCCUGCAUGCAGAGCAAAAGACUAAAUAAUCCCACAAACAUCCAGGAUGUCUUUUUUAUCUGUUUGCCUUCAGGCUUGUCCUGGGAUCACUUGCUGUAAAAUGACAAACACACAUCAGCUAGAAUAAACUCCUCUGUUGUUGUUG